UGGCUCAGAGUGAACGCUAGCGGUGCGCCUAACACAUGCAAGUCGAGUGGGUUUAGACCCACGGCAAACGGCUGCGUAACACGUUGGAAUCUGCCCCGAACUCAGGGAUAUCCCUCCGAAAGGAGGAGUAAUACCGGAUACCCUCGCAAGAGGAAAGAUUUUUCGGUUCGGGAGGAGCCUGCGGCCUAUCAGAUAGUUGGUGGGGUAACGGCCUACCAAGUCGAUGACGGGUAGCUGGAUUGAGAGAUCGACCAGCCAGAAUGGAACUGCGACACGGUCCAUACUCCUACGGGAGGCAGCAGUGAGGAAUCUUCCGCAAUGGGCGAAAGCCUGACGGAGCGACACC
rnacentral:rRNA from 1 species